UGAACGACUCUCGGCAACGGAUAUCUUGGCUCUCGCAUYGAUGAAGAACGUAGCGAAAUGCGAUACUUGGUGUGAAUUGCAGAAUCCCGUGAACCAUCGAGUCUUUGAACGCAAGUUGCGCCCGAGGCUUUUGGCCAAGGGCACGUCUGCCUGGGCGUCACGC
rnacentral:rRNA from 1 species